UACCCAGACUCCUACGGGAGGCAGCAGUGGGGGAUAUUGGACAAUGGGGGAAACCCUGAUCCAGCGACGCCGCGUGAGUGAAGAAGUAUUUCGGUAUGUAAAGCUCUGUCAGCAGGGAAGAAAGAAAUGACGGUACCUGACCAAGAAGCCCCGGCUAACUACGUGCCAGCAGCCGCGGUAAUACGUAGGGGGCAAGCGUUAUCCGGAAUUACUGGGUGUAAAGGGAGCGUAGACGGUGAUGCAAGUCUGGAGUGAAGGCGGGGGCCCAACCCCCGGACUGCUCUGGAAACUGUAUGGCUUGAGUGCAGGAGAGGUAAGCGGAAUUCCUAGUGUAGCGGUGAAAUGCGUAGAUAUUAGGAGGAACACCAGUGGCGAAGGCGGCUUACUGGACUGUAACUGACGUUGAGGCUCGAAAGCGUGGGGAGCAAACAGGAUUAGAUACCCUAGUA
rnacentral:rRNA from 1 species